rnacentral:rRNA from 1 species
UGAGUAACGCGUGAGUAACCUGCCUUCAAGAGGGGGAUAACAUUCUGAAAAGAAUGCUAAUACCGCAUGACAUAUCGGAACCACAUGGUUUUGAUAUCAAAGAUUUAUCGCUUGAAGAUGGACUCGCGUCCGAUUAGUUAGUUGGUGAGGUAACGGCUCACCAAGACCGCGAUCGGUAGCCGGACUGAGAGGUUGAACGGCCACAUUGGGACUGAGACACGGCCCAGACUCCUACGGGAGGCAGCAUG